rnacentral:lncRNA from 1 species
UUUGAGCAAUGAGAUUUACAUAUAUAUAAAAAUACCACGUUUAUUUAUUACAAAUGUGGAACCAGAAAUACAUUAUCUUUAACAACAAGGUGCAGUUUGAUUAGCUAAGGAAACAGAUACAUGAAGUUGUUAUUUUAGGCAAAGUGAAAGCCAUGACAGAAAGUACAAUACAGUUAUACAAAACACAAACAUUAAGCACAACAUAAAUCUAGAACAACUUAAGCAAAUGUUACCAUUGAAGGUACUUAUUUCAAACAUAAGACAUAAUCCAGCAAAUUUUUAUAAACACUGCACAAUCACUGAAUUUGUUCAUUUAGAACCUUGUUGCUGUUACUGCAGAACAACACAUUCUUGUGAACCAGCCACCACAGUAGGGUAUGUGCUCGAGUUGACAGCGUCGUCUUUGGGAAGAGAUUGAAGAUUGUCAUCCAAUUCUUCAGUUAAAGCAAUGGCUUCAAAGAUAAGAGCAUUGACUUCUUGAAACCUUUCUUCAGAAAGUGAAACUUCUGCAAGAAGUCGCCAAGCAUUGGCUUCAGACGCCUCGUCGAAAUCCUUUUUCCUCUUUAAAACCAUGUGUCCACUUAUUUCCCACACUGCAGGAUUUACUUGUGUGUCGAGAAGCUCAGCAUCCACUUCUCCAAGAGCUUGUUUCUCUGCAUAACACUGUUAAAAAUAUUGGUUAAGCAACCGUAUUAUAUAUUUAUAUGUAACACCGCAUAUAUAGUCCACUAGAAAGUCUAGUUAGUUUGAGAAAUUGUUUUACCUGUGGCAACAGAAAUACUUGCGUUCCGCAGUCAGAAAUAAGAACAUUGUAAGGUAUGUUGUUGUUUUGUAGGGAGAUACAAGCAUCUGAAACAAUUUUUGAUAAAUCUUCAAGUGUGUCGCCGCCCUCAAAGACAAGACCUCUAACCGGAUACUUCAACAAUUUAGAUAUCUUCACUCCACCAUUUGACAUUGCGAUUUUC